GGACAACUAUGUUUUAGUAUGUACAAAGUUUAUCAGCCAUCCUGACUUGAUAGAAGGCCUUGUUGCACAGAUUUUUUGGAAGGAACUGAAGGAACUCUUUUUUGAUUAGUUGCAUGGUCUGGCAUUCUGGAAACAGAAUGCCAGGAAGAUUGUCGCUCUCUCUGUGAGCGCUUAUGAGGAGCUGCAAAGGAGAAAGAAGAGGAGGAGUGGUGUCUCAGAGGACAGCAUGAGAGAGAAGCUGGAGGAGCUCUUCCUGGCAGCAGAAGAGUUGCCAGCAGUAAUCAAAACCCUGCAGGACCUGGGACAAUAUGCCAGGUCCAAUAAAAUGACUACAACAGCCUUGACUGAGGAAGAAGUGACCUCUGUCGAGGCCACAUACAAAUGUGUCAUCUGCAGAGUGAGCGCUCCACGUUUUACCAUUUUGAACAGGAAUGAGGGAUUUCAAACUGAAUUCACCCAAAUUGGCUGUCGCCUUUGUGUUGAUCAGUGGUUGAUCCAUGAGCCAAGCCGCCCGAAGUGCAGAGAUCCAG